CGGUGUUCAACUGGCGUGUCCGCGGGACGUCCUGCCGGUGGGCUUAGCCCGCAAGGGCGGCCCAACUUCAAAUCCCAUCGCGGUGCUCUUCACUGAGUGUCGAGGUGGGCCGGCACGUUUACUUUGAACAAAUUAGAGUGCUUAAAGCAGGCUAAAACUUCGCCUGAAUACUGUGUGCAUGGAAUAAUGGAAUAGGACCUCGGUUCUAUUUUGUUGGUUUUCGGAACCCCGAGGUAAUGAUUAAUAGGAACGGAUGGGGGCAUUCGUAUUGCGACGUUAGAGGUGAAAUUCUUGGAUCGUCGCAAGACGGACAGAAGCGAAAGCAUUUGCCAAAAACGCUUUCAUUGAUCAAGAACGAAAGUUAGAGGUUCGAAGGCGAUCAGAUACCGCCCUAGUUCUAACCAUAAACGAUGCCAGCUAGCGAUCCGUCGACGUUCCUCCGAUGACUCGACGGGCAGCUUCCGGGAAACCAAAGUUUUUGGGUUCCGGGGGAAGUAUGGUUGCAAAGCUGAAACUUAAAGGAAUUGACGGAAGGGCACCACCAGGAGUGGAGCCUGCGGCCUAAUUUGACUCAACACGGGAAACCUCACCAGGCCCGGACACCGGAAGGAUUGACAGAUUGAGAGCUCUUUCUUGAUUCGGUGGGUGGUGGUGCAUGGCCGUUCUUAGUUGGUGGAGCGAUUUGUCUGGUUAAUUCCGAUAACGAACGAGACUCUAGCCUGCUAACUAGGCGUAUUUUCGACAUCUCAAAGGUCCGUCGUCCCGGCCCUCGGGUCGUGGGCGUGCGCGAUUUUUACUGUCGGCGUACUAUCAAUUCUUCUUAGAGGGACAGGUGGCUUCUAGCCGCACGAGAUUGAGCAAUAACAGGUCUGUGAUG
rnacentral:rRNA from 1 species